GAUGAACGCUGGCGGCGUGCCUAAUACAUGCAAGUCGAGCGAACAGAUGAGGAGCUUGCUCCUCUGACGGUAGCGGCGGACGGGUGAGUAACACGUGGAUAACCUACCUAUAAGACUGGGAUAACUUCGGGAAACCGGAGCUAAUACCGGAUAAUAUAUUGAACCGCAUGGUUCAAGAGUGAAAGACGGUUUUGCUGUCACUUAUAGAUGGAUCCGCGCCGCAUUAGCUAGUUGGUAAGGUAAAGGCUUACCAAGGCAACGAUGCGUAGCCGACCUGAGAGCGUCAUCGGCCACCCUGGAACUGAGACACGGUCCCGACUCCUACAGGAGGCAGCAGUCGGGAAUCUUCCGCAAUGGGCGAAUGCCUGACGGAGCACCGCCGCGUGAGUGAUGAAGGUCUUCGGAUCGUAAAACUCUGUUAUUAGGGAAGAACAAAUGUGUAAGUACCUAUGCACGUCUUGACGGUACCUAAUCAGAAAGCCACGGCUAACUACGUG
rnacentral:rRNA from 1 species